CCUACGGGUCGCAGCAGCAAGGAAUUUUCCCCAAUGGGCGCAAGCCUGAGGGAGCAACGCCGCGUGCAGGACGACGGCCUUCGGGUUGUAAACUGCUUUUCGGGGGGAAGACACGGACGGUACCCCCAGAACAAGCCCCGGCUAACUCUGUGCCAGCAGCCGCGGUAAUACAGAGGGGGCAAGCGUUGCCCGGACUGACUGGGCGUAAAGCGCGCGCAGGCGGUCGCGGGCGUCGGUGCUGAAAGUCCACCGCUUAACGGUGGAUGGCGUGCCGAUACGCCGCGACUGGAGCCGUGUAGAGGCCAGUGGAAUUGCCGGUGUAGUGGUGAUAUGCGUAGAUAUUGGCAGGAACGCCCAAGGGGAAGCCAACUGGCUGGGCACCGGCUGACGCUCAGGUGCGACAGCGUGGGGAGCGAACUGGAUUAGAUACCCGUGUAGUC
rnacentral:rRNA from 1 species